UCACGAUUAUAGAUGUCAAUAACAUUUGGAAAACACUACUUUAGACAUAGCUUGUUCAUUGCAGAACAAAAUAGGACUACUCCUUUGAUCUAGACACUAUAUUUCAUUAUUUAAGCCUUUAUUACGACACCUUUAUUUUUUGGCAGUCAUUUAGUAUCAUUGGUUCUUAUCACAAAUGAUUUGUUCACUUACUUUCAAUACCUAACAACGUUAAAGAUUUGUUUUUCUUUGAGAUUCUGGCUGACUGUGGUAAAAACAUUAUGUUCUCCUUCAUUCUUAGUUUCCGUGUUUCCAUUACACAUUCUUUCUCUAGUUCAUUAUUCUGCAAUUUUUUUUCAGACCUAUUUCUUAACCAGGUUGGUUUGGAAUCCCAAAUGAGUAACGCAUUCAGGGUCCUUCUCAAAAGCCCCUUAGCCCAAGACCCCCGCUGAGCUCAAGAGAUCUGGGAAUGCUGACUCACCUGUGGCAUGUUCCCGUAGACCUACAUCAAAGAUCCCUGAUUAGUAAUAGCCAUGCAGCUUUCUGUGACUACCUUGCCUCUUGUCUUCCUCCUGGCUCUGGAUUAGCAUCCCACCUGCAAGUUCUUCCAGGACUGAAAACAUUUUUCCUUCUCCUUGAAUGAUGAAAGUGGGCACCAGAGCUGCUUACCAUUCCGCUGAAAGAGUGCCUCAGGAGAACUGCAUGGCCGUAUAACAGGGUCCUGUGGCCACCUCCUUGUGCUGCCUGUGGGAAUGAGGAAGAAUAAGGUCAGCACAUGCCCGUUGUGGCUUCUCCGGGAGCCAAGCAACACAAUAAUUCUGGGAGACAGACUACCAGGAAAAGACCCAUUGCAAAGCUCCUAAGGAAUUCAUUCCAGAAGCAAGUGGCUGGUCUACGGGCAGAAAGAGACGUGUGACCACAGCCAUGCAACAUCCUUGGGAGAGGGUGUGUGGGACCAAAUCUAUUCCCAGAAAUGGCCUCUGCCCAGGAUCAGCAGAAACCCAGAGCUGUUCUACCAGAGAAGCAUGUAAGUGACAUAGGUACUGCUUACCUUCCUUUGAAACUUCUCAGAAGCGUUCAGAGUGAGAGAGAGAAACAAAUGUGAUGUAGCCAUAGCCUAGCAACACAAAGGCAGUGUGGCAGGCGGCACAUGGUCACAUUCUGUGCCAUGCAGUCUUUUCCCUUCAAGGCACUUAUGCCUUCUGCCCACUCCCUUAAAUGGGUCCUUUAUACACAGAUCUCACCAACGAGAGAUGGCUCUGAAAUCCAGGACUUUAAAAGGGUAACCAGUUAUGCAGAAAUAGAUCCUUCAGUUGAGAGACCAUCUAGGUAUCUUCUCUGCCUCACCAGGCAGUUCCACUUUGGCUAUUUGCUCAGUGGCUGCCCAAACAGUGGGAGAGGGAGGCAUGAGAGGGAGAGAUGGCCCGACAUAAAGCCACUGGUGUCUGUUUCUUAUUCUUUCCCUGAAUCUGAUUCACACGUCACCAUGCUGAACUGAAUGGUACAUGAUAGGAGACAAAACUGUAAUUUAUUAUAGUUAGAGGUGAGUAGGUCGCAUGGAAAAUGGAAAUCUACAGAAAAUUCUAGGAGUUUUUGGCAUCAACAUUUCCAACCUCUCACCUAAGUAUCUCUUCAUCAUGCUAACCAGCAAUCAAGUUUUUGAUCACACACCCUUUUUGGAGAAAAUAUUUGAGCAUAAGCCCUCCCCUCCCCAAACAUGCACAGAAAGAGAAUCUAAAGCUUGAGAUAAAAAUUAAUUAUGAAGAUAAUUCUAGCAUUUUUCUUCAAGGACACCUCUUAUGCAGUCCAUUUUAUUCAGAGUUACAGACUGGCAGCCCAAGGACUGGUUUGAGGCUCUGCCCGUCUCCCGUGUCCACCUGCAACCACACCAAUGAGCAAUGCAGAGGAAAGGGAAUCAGGUAGUGUGGAGGACAAAGCCUGGAGUAAUUUUAUUUCAAUUCUAUUUGGAUUAAUAGCAUCACUCUGUCAAAAAGAUGAUUUUUCAUGUCACAUAAUGAGCCUAAAGAAGAGAAAAAAGAUAAACGUGGUAUCAUGUUCCAAAAAAGCCGGUAACUAAAUAUAAAUGCGGCUGCGCUUUUUCCCACAGCUACAGAGAUUAUUUAAGUGUUCUCCAGGCUUUAAUACUGUGUGGAAUUACAAUGCUCUUCACAAUAUUUUAAAAUUUCUUGAAAUCAUCUGCACUAACUUUAGUUUCUGUAUUUAUAAAUGUGUCAACAGCUAAUGUUAAAAUUAGACAUACCAAAUAAUUUUCACAUCUUGCCAAUCUACCAAAAAUUGAUCUUAUCCACUUAUAUUAUUACAAGUUAAUGGAUGGCUCCUGAUGGCUUACACUGUGGGUGUGUCCUCCCAAAACAGUCCUACAUCUCAAACGGAUCCACUGACCAGCUUAUACUUCCUACCUUCCUCCAACUCUUCUUUGUCCCUACCAACUCUCUAAUCAUAAGAAGAAUUAAGAGUCACUGAUCCCCAAAAGCUGGGGGAGGGGGGUGUCAUGUUUUGAG
rnacentral:lncRNA from 1 species